UUAUAUUAUUAUAAUAUAUAACAAAGAGUAUAAAUAAUUUUAGUGUAAAAGUGUUUGUAUAAAAAUGAUACUUAGUUAGGUUAAAAUCAUUAGUUCAUCGAUGGAUAAUAACAUUCCUUCAAAAGGAUUCACAUUACCCAACAACAGUAUUUUAUAUAAUUACACAACCCAUUUGUAUCGAAGCGCGGAAUAAUCCGCAUAAGAAGCAUUUUGUUUGAACAAAAAAGACUAAUUCUAGUCAUGAUGCAAAUGGGUUAAAAGAGGUAGAUAUAUUGGAAUGUAAACUAAGAAAUUUUUAGGUCCACAAAGCUGUUGGCAUUAUUCCUUCAACUGUACCAGCUGCAGGUUUUAAAUCUUCAUCGCACAAGAAAUUUAAUGGCAUGUCUACCAAAUGACCCUAAGGACGUUUCAUGAAAAUUUCUGGCGAGAGCCACCAAUCGGCAAUAAAAAUUUCUUCUUUGGCAUUUUCUAAUGCAUCGGCUACAGC